UAGGGAAUCUUCCGCAAUGGGCGAAAGCCUGACGGAGCAACGCCGCGUGAGUGAUGAAGGUCUUCGGAUCGUAAAACUCUGUUAUUAGGGAAGAACAUAUGUGUAAGUAACUGUGCACAUCUUGACGGUACCUAAUCAGAAAGCCACGGCUAACUACGUGCCAGCAGCCGCGGUAAUACGUAGGUGGCAAGCGUUAUCCGGAAUUAUUGGGCGUAAAGCGCGCGUAGGCGGUUUUUUAAGUCUGAUGUGAAAGCCCACGGCUCAACCGUGGAGGGUCAUUGGAAACUGGAAAACUUGAGUGCAGAAGAGGAAAGUGGAAUUCCAUGUGUAGCGGUGAAAUGCGCAGAGAUAUGGAGGAACACUAGUGGCGAAGGCGACUUUCUGGUCUGUAACUGACGCUGAUGUGCGAAAGCAUGGGGGGGAAAAAAGGNNNAAAACCCGGGGGCCCCCCCCCCCNAAANNUGAGUGCUAAGUGUUAGGGGUUUCCGCCCCUUAGUGCUGCAGCUAACGCAUUAAGCACUCCGNUUGGGGAGUACNANCGCANGNUG
rnacentral:rRNA from 1 species